GAACAUGGGUGCAUUCAAUUACAUUGCACCGCGCCUUUCUACUGCCAUGAAAUCACUUGGCAGAGGUAACAUGGAUGACAUCAAGUAUGUUGGUCGUGCUCCUUCUGCUGCCACAGCCACUGGUUUCUUCCAGGUUCACGUCAAAGAACAGACCGAGCUUGUCCAGAAAGCGUUGCAGCAGGAUCCUAUCAAUCAAAUCUGAAGCUUGAACGUUCAUGUACCCCAUAACACUGGCCUCCAAAAAUGAUGCGACGAUAGAAAUGUUAAGCUAUUCUCUGUGCCUCGUAUAGCCAGUGUGAGUUUUAAUUUUGCUUUUUGGAAAAAUAAGGCCUUUUUGUUUGUGCUAGUUUUCAGUCAGUUGCACAGUUUAAACUGAUGCUUUCAUACAUAUACGUAUUUCAGUUGGUUAAACAAUUUUGAUCAACAAUACAACUCACUCGGACUUAUCCUUGUUACCUCUAGUUUGGU
rnacentral:misc_RNA from 1 species